GGUCGCAUAGCUCAGCUGGAUAGAGCAUCUGCCUUCUAAGCAGACGGUC
rnacentral:tRNA from 1 species